UACGUAGGGUGCAAGCGUUGUCCGGAAUUAUUGGGCGUAAAGAGCUCGUAGGCGGUUUGUUGCGUCGGCUGUGAAAUCCCGAGGCUCAACCUCGGGUCUGCAGUCGAUACGAGCAAACUAGAGUGUUGCAGGGGGAGACUGGAAUUCCUGGUGUAGCGGUGAAAUGCGCAGAUAUCAGGAGGAACACCGGUGGCGAAGGCGGGGUCUCUGGGCAACAACUGACGCUGGAGGAGCGAAAGCGUGGGGAGCGAACAGG
rnacentral:rRNA from 1 species